UCUAUUUGACAAGACCUGGAGCAAUUGCCGUCUGCUGCUAAGGUUUCUACCACAAAUGCAAGAAAAGAGUAUCCUUGUACUUCCUGUCUGUCUGAUUGUGGCAGCUAGGAUUGAAUGGGGGAAUAUAGGA
rnacentral:snoRNA from 1 species